rnacentral:rRNA from 1 species
UACGUAGGGCGCAAGCGUUGUCCGGAAUCAUUGGGCGUAAAGCGCGCGUAGGCGGCCCUGUAAGUCCGUUGUGAAAGUCAAAGGCUCAACCUUUGAAAGCCGAUGGAUACUGCAGGGCUAGAGUCCGGAAGAGGAGAGUGGAAUUCCCGGUGUAGCGGUGAAAUGCGCAGAUAUCGGGAAGAACACCCGUGGCGAAGGCGGUUCUCUGGGACGGUACUGACGCUGAGACGCGAAAGCGUGGGGAGCGAACAGG